AAUAUUAUGAUACAACAUGAGUUCUACGGAUUAUCGCGGAAAUUCAUCCUGCUCAGGUGAUGCCCAAGGAGGCAUCCCAGCUCUUCCUGUGUGACAGCUCCUCAUGUCAUCUCCAAGGGAGAGCCCAGUCACUCAGCAUAUGAAACUCAUUGGGACUACUUGAAAUACAUGUUUCAAAAGCCAGAGGAAAGAAGAUAAGACUGAUGUGGACGGUGUUAUGCCAGUCUCUACCGCGGCACUGCGCAGCUCCAGCACCACUGGAGCCCGUGGAAAAAUCCAAGCGAGCCUUCUUCAGGAUUUAACCCGGGAGGAGGAGCUUCAAUCACGGAGGCAUGACCAAGGGAGGCGGGCAGGUCUACAGCACAUACCGUCCUCCUACACCAACACUCCGGCUACGAACAAGCAUAUAACAACAGCCCGGCUCGGAAAUCUUGCUGCCAGAUCUUACAAUGCUAUUCUUGUUUGAUUUCUGAUGGAGUCUUGCCUUUGAAGCUAACUCUGGCGACAUGGGGAGCUCCAGUUAGCAUCGAAGCUAACCAGCGCUAGCUCUUCCACCGGCGAACUGGAAAGCGAGAAGGGAAUGGCAAGACAUCCCACAAAGGAUCAAUUAAAACGAAACAACAACAACUAAAAUCCCAGGAUUAGGCCGGUUUUGUUACUGUUCAUUCAUAGGUUGUUGGAGUGAGCAUUGCCCCCACCAUGGUGCAGAAAUACCAGUCACCUGUGCGGGUGUACAAGUACCCCUUCGAGCUGGUGAUGGCGGUGAGUGUUUUCACCUGUCAUUUUAGUCUCAGG